rnacentral:rRNA from 1 species
AUUGAACGCUGGCGGCAUGCCUAACACAUGCAAGUCGAACGAGUGGCGGACGGGUGAGUAAUGUCUGGGAAACUGCCUGAUGGCGGGGGAUAACUACUGGAAACGGUAGCUAAUACCGCAUACCAUCCGAUGUACCCAGAUGGGAUUAGCUAGUAGGUGGGGUAACGGCUCACCUAGGCGACGAUCCCUAGCUGGUCUGAGAGGAUGACCAGCCACACUGGAACUGAGACACGGUCCAGACUCCUACGGGAGGCAGCAGUGGGGAAUAUUGCACAAUGGGCGCAAGCCUGAUGCAGCCAUGCCGCGUGUAUGAAGAAGGCCUUCGGGUUGUAAAGUACUUUCAGCGGGGAGGCGUUACCCGCAGAAGAAGCACCGGCUAACUCCGUGUCAGCAGCCGCGGUAAUUC